rnacentral:rRNA from 1 species
AUGGCGGACGGCGACCAGAGCCAGCAGCCGCCGCGCUACUGGUUCCCCUACUGGAGCGGGCCGCCGCCCCCGGUGCGCCCGCAGAUGUCGCGCCGCCUCUCCCCGCCCCAAGCGCCCUCCUCGCCCGCAGUGCCGUCCUCGCCGCGCCGCCCCUCGCCGUCCCACCCCCGCCAACCCACUCCUCGUGCGGCUCAGAGCCAGGCGUCCUCCCGCCCGUCCCCGUCCCCGUCCCGGGCAUCGCCGCUCGCGCCCACCCGAGAGCUGCCCAACAGCAACUCCGUCUCCAACGCCAGGCCGCCUCCUAAGCCGGUCGCUCUGCCCGCGACGCCCAAGCCCAAGGACGUCGACGUCGUCCCGCAGCCGGAGAAAACCUCCGUGCACCCGCCUGCUGCUGCGGCUGAGACCAAGCAUGGCCACAGGGCAGCGCAUCACAACAAGGAGAAGGAGGUUGACAAGGAGAAGAAGGACGAGCACAAGAGCAAGGACAAGAAGCACCACGCCGGCGAGGACAGCAAGCACAAGGACAAGGAGAAGAAGAACCAUGCCGACGCCGGCGAGGAGAGCAAGCACGGGAAGGAGAAAGACAAGGAGAAGAAGCACCAUGCGGACGCCGUCGAGGAGGGCAAGCACAAGGGGGAGGAGAAGGAGGCCAAGGCGGAGCACGGGAAGCUGCACGGGGAGCUCAAGGCGGGCGUCGCCGACAUGGUGCGCAGGGCCACCGGCUCCGGGCACCAAGGGGCGAGCGUGAUCACGCUGGCGGGGGAGAACAAGGGCGCGUCCAUGAAGGUGGGCGGCGGCAUGGGCAAGGACGGCUCGUGGAAGGAGCACCACGGCGGGCACCGGCUGGACGGCGGCGCGGCGGACGGGAAGCCGGACGGGCAGAAGAAGCAGGGGAUGAUGACGGCGCUGAUCAACAGCAACGUGCAGGUGAUCAACAACUCGCUGCUGCUGCACAGCUCAUGCAGCGGCAGCGACCCCGGCGUGCACCUCAAACUCUCCGCCAAGUCCGCCAACAAAGACAAGCAGAAGCACGCCGCCGGUGCAGACAAGGAUGCCGCUGCAAAGAAAUGA